rnacentral:RNase_P_RNA from 1 species
GGUGAGGGAAGCUCAUCAGCAGGGACACAAGUUGGGUGCUUAUCACUUGCUGGCCCCUGGGAAGUUCUGAGACUGGGCCCUCCCCAAGAAAGCAGGGAGGUGAAUUCCCAGAGCAGGCAGACCCUGCCGGAGAGGCCCUGGGUGGGCGGCAGAUGCCUCCCUCACAGGAACUUGGAAGAGACUCAGGGCCAGGAUGCACAGGGCUGGUAUUAGCCUACAGGAGAGACUCCUGUGGCUCUCACCGAAGAUGGAAAUGCAUUCUCUCUACAGGCAGGCAGAGGUGGGGGAGAUAUGUGAGGUUGGGAGUUUACUGCCUGCACCCUCUGAAUCUAAAUCCCCCUCC